rnacentral:rRNA from 1 species
AUGGACGGCGGAGCGACGGCCGCGGCGCUGGGCGCGUGGGAGGCCGUGCGGGGCCUCUUCACGCCGGCCACGCUCUUCCUCACCGUCAACCUCGUCAUCGGCACCAUCCUGCUCACCUCCCGCUCCCACCAGCGCCGACGCCAGGGCGGCCAUGACGGCGACCACCAAGAGCAGCCGCUCCAACAAGUGGAGCCGCAGCAGCAGCAUCAGGAGGACCUGUACUACCGCGACCAGCAGCAGCAGCAGCAGUACGUGCCCCCGCCGCCGGCGCCGGCGCCGCUCGCGCGCACCUCGUCGGUGCUGGACCGCCUCCGCUCCAUCGGCCUCUACCGCUUUCGCUCCGGCGACUUCCCGCCCGAGUACGCCGCGGGCGCCGUGACCGACUCGCGGGACGUGACGGUCUCUCCGGAGCCGGCGCCGACGGCCGGAGAUGCCCACCACGCCAGGAGCCGGUCGGAGCCCCCGGCGCGUGUGGAGAGGAGGCGGGCGCCGCCGUCGAAGAUGAAGAGGUCCAGCUCCGAGGCGAGGAGGGCCGAGGUGGCCCCAGCGCCGGCGGCUCGGGUGGUCCAGCCGGCCGUGCUGGAGGAGGAGGAGGACGACGACGACCUUGUAGAGCACGACACCGAGUUCACCGACAAUUACAACAGCUUCACGACACCGCCGCCGGAGCAGGAGCCGGAGGGGGAGCAGUACUACUGCGAGGAGUACGUCCCUCCAUACAGGCCGGCGCCGCUGGCGCGCGCGCCGUCCGUCCUGGAGCGCCUGCGCUCCUUCAGCCUCUACCGCUUCAACUCCGGCAACCUUGCGCCCGAACUCUCCGCCUCGCCGGACCACGCCGUGGCCGCCGUCGCGGCGGCAGACGAGAAGAAGACGUCGACGCAGUACAGCAGGAGCCGGUCGGAGCCGGCGCGGGAGCAGGGCAAGAAGAGCAAGAAGCAGCAGGGGGAGAAGCAGGGGGCGGAGGCGAAGAUGAGCAAGUCGAGCUCGGAGGCGAGGAUGCUGCCGCCGCCUCCGCCGCCGCCGCCGAUGGAGGAGGCCGUGGAGGGCGGCGUGGACGCGCGGGCGGACGACUUCAUCAACAGCUUCCGGAAGCAGCUGCGGCUGCAGCGGCUCAACUCGCUGCUCAACUACAAGGAGGUGCUCAACCGCGGCGCCAAGUAG